UAAAUAGAUACUUGAAUCUUGGGUUUUCAAGAUGUUGAUGAAUAAUGUAACAAAAGAAAAAAAGAAAAAACAUGUUGAUGAAUAAAUAAAUUUCUGUGUGUGGAUCGUUUGAAGCAGUCUUGUUUGUUAUGCUUGUACCGGGAAUCUCGUUGGCUUUAUGGUUUGUCUCCUAGACUUAUUGACGUUGGUGAAUGAUGGUGGGCAUUAAAUAAUUUGUCAAGAUGCUGAUCGAAUUAGACUUCUUUCUUUGUUCCAUUGUGUCUAUUGUCUAAACCACAUCAAGGCACAUACAUCUCCCUCGGAUCUAAUCCUACCCACCCACAUUGACCUGCUCGAUCUCUCAGAUCUUCAUAGCUUCGAUUCGAUCCCAGCGGGGCGAGAUUGGAGAGCUUGAUUGGACUGGUCAACCAAAUCCAGCGAGCCUGCACCGCUCUCGGCGAUCACGGCGGCGAGGGCAUGUCUCUCUGGGUAGCUUUCCCCUCCAUUGCCGUCAUCGGAGGCCAGGUUUUCCACUCCCACCUUCUUAUAUCAACUUGUUGUGUAUAACAGAGUUCGGGAAAGUCUUCGGUUUUGGAAAGCGUUGUGGGGAGAGAUUUCAGCCUAAUUCAUCUGUUUACACUUUAAUGUUGUGGACAGGGCUGAGCGUUUGUUUUGUGAAAUGUUGGAAGAUGGGGUUCGGCGUAAUUUCGGUUUACACUUAAAUGAUAGAUGGCCAUUCCAAGAAAGGAAAUGUAGGUGAGGCCAUGAAUUAUAUGAGUAAAAUGCAGGAUGGAGGGGUUAGGACUUAGGGUUAGUCUUGAUGCGGCUGCAUAUGGAGUGAUGAUCUCAGACCUCUGUAAUAACGGUCAGUUUGAUAAUGCGAUGCGGGUUGUUACAGAUUCGGCCAUGAGUGGUUUUUUCUCCAGAUAAGAUGUUGUUGACGACCAUUAUGUAUGCAUGUUUCAAAGCUGGCAAUUUGAAAGCAGGUUUGGGUGUCUACAGAUUGUUAGCGAAGGGUUUUGAACCUGAUGCUGUGGUGCUUUCAGCUUUGAUGGACGGCUUAUGCAAGCCUGGGCAUUUGGAGGAGGCAAGAGGCUACUUUUGCAAGGAAAAGGCUAAUGAAAUUUCAUAUACUGUGCUCAUUGAUGGGAUGUGUAAGGAAGCAAACUUUAGUGAAGUUGAGACGAUCUUCAGUGAGAUGUCCAAGAUGGGGUUUAUUCCAGACAAAUAUGUAUACACUUCUUGGAUUGCUGGGCUAUGCAGACAGGGUAAUAAAAUGGUCGAGGCUUUUAGACUCAAGAAUAAAAUGGUUAAAGAGAGCAUCACAUCAGACCUGAUCUGUUAACUUAUAGCUCACUUAUUUUUUUGGUUUAGCAAGGGACUCAUGGUUGAAUCACAACAGGUUUUCGAUGAUAUGUUGAAAAGAGAAAUUACUCCUGACUGUCACGUCUUUGGUAUUCUGAUAAGAGGGUAUUGUGAUGAGGGUAAUGAUGUUGCCAUGCAUUUUAGGUUUGCACGAUGAAAUGAGAAAGAGAGGGCUUGUGGUCACAGGAGGUAAAGGAGAUGGAGAGCAUUGAUUUGUGAUAGCAUGUAAGGCUCCACAAGACCCAAGGACUUUGCAGGGUGUUCCAUAAAGAAACUUGCUGUCAUGUAGCGCAGGCACACCCUGCACUGCUAUCCAUAAGAAAGUCGUCUUCAAGAGGGAAAGCUGGCUCAGUUCUUGCAAUUAUGGAAUUAUUGGAAUGUUUCAUCUGCGGUCCUCGCAUUGGUGUGGAGCAAUUAAGGACCUCCAGUUAUAUGUGCCUCGUUCUGUGACAGGGCCUUCAAGGCUUGUGCCGAGGCGUACAACUUGAGGGAUGCAAUAACACAGCACGGUUGUGGUAGGCAUCUGAGUGGAUCCAUAAUGACCCAGAGUUAUGCCAUGCUGAGGGGUUUGCUGUUAAAGAUUAUACAUCUGAGAGCAUGGAAGAAACACUUAUUUGCUAUGGUGUUUAAACUUAAAACCCAGUGUGAUUUGAGUGCAGAUUCAUGGAAGGGUCUCAUAGUCCAAGGUGCCACAGAAACUUGAGAGCUUGAGGCUGUGGGAGAAAUUCCAGUAGAGAGUGAGGAAAUGCCAAUCAGCUCCAUGAACAAGCUGCAUGUUUUACAUGUUUUACCAUUAUCUACUAAGAAACUUGAAGCCAAGAUGGAGCAGAAAUCUUCUAAUGUCAAUUUACAAGAGCUGUAUCCAUAUUGUAUUAGCUCUUUUCUCAUGGCAGUGAAUCAUUAGUUUUCUGUUCACUGUUUAACAGAAACUUGGGCUUCCAAUGAACCAUAGAAUCUGAAUUGAUUGAGAUUUUGGGUA